rnacentral:rRNA from 1 species
UACGUAGGGAGCAAGCGUUAUCCGGAAUUAUUGGGUGUAAAGGGUGCGUAGACGGGAUAACAAGUUGGUUGUGAAACCCCUCGGCUCAACUGAGGAACUGCAACCAAAACUAUUAUUCUUGAGUGCAGGAGAGGAAAGUGGAAUUCCUAGUGUAGCGGUGAAAUGCGUAGAUAUUAGGAAGAACACCGGUGGCGAAGGCGAUUCUCUGGACUGUAACUGACGCUGAGGCUCGAAAGCGUGGGGAGCAAACAGG